ensembl:lncRNA
GUAGACAAAGUCCUGUAAUUCUCUUCUAGGGUAGGUGGCACAAUGCUUCUGAAAAGGGCUGAGCUUCCUUUUCUGCGGCUUCGUGGAUCUGGGCUAGAUAAGUAUAUGUCUUCCGUAUUCCCGUCUCUUUAAAUAUGUCUCUUCCCUCCAUCGACAGUGCCCUGUCUCCAAGGUUUUCCUCACCAUGACACAGCUUAAGGGCUGUCCUAAACCUCCUGUCUCUCCACACCUUUCCUCUGACCACAAGAACACUUCUAUCAGCAGCAGAUAAUCUGAAAGAUGGCUAACGAAAACAGAAACACAAUCAGGAGAAAAUGCAGUUGUGCUCGGCUGAGUCUCAUGGCUACAGAUGGAGCAAAGGAGCUAAAAUGAAGUAGGAAUUGGAAGAACAGAGGAGAAAAACUGGAUUUUUGCCACCAAUAUUCAUCCUUCACUUACCCUGAAGACCAUUUUCUAAGACGGAGGCAUGAAAGGAAGGAAGGAUCAUUUAAAGCAAACAAUGGCUUCCAUUUAUCUCUUACAUGACAUGAAUAAAACAGAUGUACCAGGUAGGUCCUCAGGUAAGUGGUUCUGUGGUAUAUUUUUUAAGUAUUUUCCAUAUCAUACCUACCAGUAUUCCUCUUAGAAUUAUGCUUUAGACAUUACUUGGGUUGCAAAAAACCCUAAUAUACUUUUAAGAAUCCCUCAAGUUCUUCCUUCCUUGAUUUCCACUUUUCCCACUCCUCUGCUAUUAAAGCUAUUUGAAGAGGUCUCAGUGAAUAACCAUUGCCAUCUUCAUAUAUUUUUGGCAGCCCACAAAAUUUAAAACUCUCUUAAGCUCACACAUUGCAAGCAUCUGCCUGCAAUGCGGGAGACCUGGGUUCUAUCCCUGGGUCGGGAAGAUCNNNNNNNNNNNNNNNNNNNNNNNNNNNNNNNNNNNNNNNNNNNNNNNNNGGACUGAGGAGCCUAGUGGGCUACAGUCCACAGAGUCGCAAAGAGUCGGACAUGACUGAGCGACUUCACUUUCACUUUCAAGCUCACACCAAAAAGUUAGGUCUUACUCAUUUUGCAGCACUGAAAAAUGAUUACUAACAUGAUAAAUAAUAAUUUAAAAAAGUAACUUACAGGGUUUUUGAGGGGGAAUUUUCUUUAUCUCUGAAGUUGUUUCCUGAUAAAAUAGGAAUAAUCCUCAAAAGAAAAAAUAUUGUGGUUUCAUUAGAAUUAUAUUCCUUGAAAUGUGCAAUAAUAUUCUCAUGGUCAAAUGUUUAUUUCAUGACAAAAAUGAGGAAUGUUGGUGUAUUACUCUGCAUUGUAAAGUGUAACAAGUUCAGAGUAAGCUAACUGGAAGCUUGGAAACCAAGGAUGGAUAGAUCCUCAGAUAGAUUUUUAUAUCAGUAAAGAAUUGCAUUUGGCUUCCAGUGACAGACUUGUGUGAUUUAAAUAUAUAUGGUUGUACACUUGUCAAUCAAAGUAUAGAGCUAGGCAGACACUGAGUUCAGUAGCUCAUGAGUGUCAGGGAUGUUGGGAUACAUUUCUUAGCCUUCUACUCAGUCCCCAAAUGGCUGCUAGACCUCAGGACCGUGCAAGCAGUUUUUGAGAAAGAAGAAAAGGGGUUUUUGUCAGCUUCAUAAACUUUUCCAGAGGUCUUAUCCAA